GGAAAGGUGGCUGAGUGGCUGAAAGCAUAGUAUUGGAAAUACUAUUUAAGAAUUAAUCUUAACAAGGGUUCGAAUCCCUUUCUUUCCU
rnacentral:tRNA from 1 species